CCGGCUCACCAGCGCCCACGUGGCUGGCGGUGCCCGGCCGCAGCCACUCCCGGUGACGGAAUCGUGUCGUUCGUAACACGGUGCCUUUCUGUGCUCCAACCCCCGGGGUGCUGGCCUCGCCGUCCAUGUGGGAUGGUCUCUGUGGUCCCCCAGGGGUCUCACUGAUCAGAUGGAUCUGUGCGGCCGGAGCCAGAGAGGGGCCCUGCGGGAAGCCAGCAGGAAGCAGGCCUCGCCCCGCCGCUGGUCCAGAGUGAAUGGCUGGUCGUGGCCCCUGCACACCUUCCAGGCGGUGGCCUGGACCACGCUGUUCAUCUUGGCCUUCGCCAACUUCGGUAUCUUCGUCCCCUUGCUGCCGCCUAACUGGAACUUGGUCAUCUAUGGUGUGACUGGUGGGCUUUUCUGUUUCCACUUCGUGGUCCACUUGCUUGCAAUUUCCAUCGAUCCUGCUGAAACCAACGUACGGCUCAAGAACUACUCGGAGCCCGUACCCACCUUCGACCCAUCCAAACACACGCAUGUCAUCGAGAACCAAUAUUGCCACCUGUGUGAGAUCACCGUGAACAGGAAGGCUAAACACUGUAGGGCCUGCAACAAGUGUGUAUCUGACUUUGACCACCACUGCAAAUGGCUUAACAACUGUGUAGGGGGCAGGAAUUACAGGUAUUUCUUCUGCUCCUUGGUCUCUGCCUCGGCCAGCCUGCUCUGCCUGAUCACCAUCCUGCUGUACGUCUUCAUCCAGUACUUUGUCAACCCGGAGGUGCUGCGCACUCAUCCCCUCUAUGAAGACGUCUCCAAGGACACUUGGCUGCUGUUCCUUCCUUUGUUCCCUGUAAAGACGAAGACCCUGGUGGUCCUGGGCAUUGGGGUGUUCGUCCUGCUGCUGUCCGCCCUCAGCCUCCUGCUGCUUGGACACCUGCUCAUCUUCCACCUCUUCUUAAUGUUCAAGAAGUUGAGCACGUAUGAGUAUGUGACACAGAACCGCUGUCAAAAGACUCCAAAAGUUCCAGCAGGGAGGAAAGAGCUGUCCUUCAAAAUAAGCAUGCCACAGAGUGAAGUGCAACCAUCUGCUGCCGGACGUGCACUCUGGUCCACCCUCCUCCGCCAACACGUUCGUGGAGGACUCGUGGGUGAUGGAGAUAGCCAGCAGCCUGACUUCGUCUGCCCUCAGGGCACUGUGAUGACGUGAUCGAAGACAAGCCAGUUUCCCUCGACGUCACAGACGCGGACAGCCACCCGAAGGGCUCGCCGAACUCCGCUCGCUGGAGCUUGCGAUGAGACCUCUCUAGGCUCUUCACAAGUAAUGUGUGAGCCAGCGCACAGUUGUGAGCGAUGCCCGUGGACUUUCUGUCUGUGAGCACGUGCCGCGUGCAGAGGGCGCCGCGGUCCAUGACCGUGUGCGGCAGAGGCAGGGCUCUCCAUGUGCCAGGUGGGUGACCGCACCUCGCAGGCCCCUGGGGAGCACACGGCCUCUGCCCCUCCUGUGCCACAGAGGCAGAGAGUGGCCCCUUUCACAUCGUGGCCCAGCUUCAAGCGCACAUUUUAGAGAGUAAAUCAGGCGUAGCGGAACACGGUGACUCCCAUCCCCGCGACAAGACGUCGUCUUCUCCUGGAGUGUGAGUAACAGGAGGCCACACAGCACCCAUGUCAGCGAGGUCCGUGCCGUCUCCCCUACGUUUCCCUGAGCACACGGUGAGCACAGGCUCCCUCUGUUUCUGGAAGGAUGGUCCUGGGGAACAUUUCACAGCUGUAAGUGUCUGAAUAUUGUAUCCUCACUUCACAACCUCAGUAACUUUGCACCAAGUGCCCUUUAAUGCAUUUGAAGUGAAAUUAAAAAGGGCAAGUUAUUUACUUGAAUGUCACCCACCACAUACACACACACAGACCUCCUGCUCUGGCCCGCAGGGACUGUUGCAGAAAAUGUUUCUUUGGUAACCAAAGAGUUUGGACCCAGUUGAGCAGCUAGCGCUUUAGACACCUUCCGUGGCCUGCUCCUGAGGCCUCACCCGAGUCUCAGUCCUCGAGGCCCACCCACCAGGGGCCCCCCUGGGACGUCGAUCACAGGGAAACCUUGUAGGACUUCAUACAGCCCGUGUUCCUCGCGGUCGCUGGCAGACAAACUUAUUGGGAGUACUUCUUCCCGGCUGUUUAUCUGUCUAGGGUGUCCGGUCUGCUGGUUAUGUACAAAUCAGCCAAGCAGUGAACAUAUGAAUAAGGGGGAGGGUCCGUCGUGCAGGUGAAGCUGCUUCUGUCUGGUUUUAAAGGCAUUUCUGUCGGCAGAAAUCCACCGGGUGGCUUGUUUUAGUUUUCCACUGGUGGUGGAAGCCUGCAGCGUCCUUCUCGCAUGAACCUUCUGCGUGUUUAUGGCGCGGGACCCCCUCUGGCACUCAGCCUCCAGGCGCUGCCUGCUCCCGAGACUGCAGAUAAGAGGGGGCCCCAGCGGGGAGACGUCCACGGGCACCGUGGAGCCUGCAGGGUCCCCACGCACUAGCCCGCCCGGCGAGGGCCUGCCCUGGAACGUGCUCCUUCUUCCCCGCUCUGCCCUAGCGGACCCGGGAGCCAGGUGUUCCUGUCGCCAUCCGGUGAUCCAGUGACCUCACCCUACACUCCACCUUGGCCUCCGGCACAGAGGACCACCUGCGGUGAAGGUCUCAAAGGACCAACAGGAAAUGAGGUUGCCUGUGAAAGCAG